UUUCAGCCUAUUUCUCCAUCAUUUCCCAUUAUAUUUUCAGAGCAUUUCGAGAGAGAGAGUGAAGGAAGAGGAAGAAGAAGUUGGUGCAGGUUUUAGGUUGAAGAAGGGAGGAAAAGCUCAUGCAAAUACAACCAUGGAAGAAUUUGAGUUUAACCUACCUAUCUCUGGUUUUUAAGUCGAUUUGAGCUACACAAGAAGAACUAAGAGAUAAGGCCUGACUUUCUUGAAAGUUAAUCCAUUUUCUAACAAAUUUCAUGAAGGAAGCUUGAGCUAAAUCUGAUGUUAAGUUAAUGGUUUUUGAAAAGGAAUACAGAGCAUAGAAUUUUCGUGCAAAUCAGAAGGAUCUCUGCUUUUCUCUGGUUUUUCAAAUAUUCUGGGGCGUACAAGUUGGAUUUGAAGCUCAAUUGGCUAUGGUUGGAAAGCUUAUUCAAUUUCCUAUAACUUACCUGAAGAAUUUGUGAGCCAAAAAUGACUAGAAGUAGGUUUAAUUUCAGGAAAAAUGUAGAGGGUAGCAGAGAAGCACGAAUCUAUAUUUACUGUGUUCGAGGGAUUUUUGGACAAAUCCUUUGAGAAUCUCGUGUUUAUCCAUUUAGGCCAAGAGGAGAUAGGCCAAGUGUACAGACCAGGGAACUAGCCGACACUGUUAUAUUCCGUUGUUGACAUUGAGUGUACUCCGUGACAACGAUGCUGUUGUGAGUGCUGGGCGGGACCCACUAUGACAAAGACGAUAGGAGUGUUGGGCGGGCCCCACUAUAUUGUAGAGCUAGUAAACAUUGGUUGUACUGGGCGUGCCCUACACAACGUUGAUUUGUCAUGUAGAGAUCGAGCUCCCAUUGAGUGUACUUCGUGACAACGAUGCUGUUGUGAGUGCUGGGCGGGACCCACUAUGACAAAAACGAUGGGAGUGCUGGCGGGCCACACUACAUUGUAGAGCUAGUAAACAUUGGUUGUACUGGGCGUGCCCUACACAACGUUGAUUUGUCAAGUAGAGAUCGAGCUCCCAUUGAGUGUACUUCGUGACAACGAUGCUGUUGUGAGUGCUGGGCGGGACCCACUAUGACAAAGACGAUGGAGUGCUGGGCGGGCC